UACGGGGGGGGCAAGCGUUGUUCGGAAUUACUGGGCGUAAAGGGCUCGUAGGUGGCCAACUAAGUCAGACGUGAAAUCCCUCGGCUUAACCGGGGAACUGCGUCUGAUACUGGAUGGCUUGAGUUUGGGAGAGGGACGCGGAAUUCCAGGUGUAGCGGUGAAAUGCGUAGAUAUCUGGAGGAACACCGGUGGCGAAGGCGGCGUCCUGGACCAACACUGACACUGAGAAACGAAAGCCAGGGUAGCAAACGGG
rnacentral:rRNA from 1 species